rnacentral:rRNA from 1 species
UACGUAGGGGGCAAGCGUUGUCCGGAAUCAUUGGGCGUAAAGCGCGUGUAGGCGGCCCGGUAAGUCCGCUGUGAAAGUCGGGGGCUCAACCCUCGAAUGCCGGUGGAUACUGUCGGGCUAGAGUGCGGGAGAGGCGAGUGGAAUUCCUGGUGUAGCGGUGGAAUGCGCAGAUAUCAGGAGGAACACCGAUGGCGAAGGCAGCUCGCUGGGACGGUACUGACGCUGAGGCGCGAAAGCGUGGGGAGCGAACAGG